rnacentral:rRNA from 1 species
GAUGAACGCUAGCGGCAGGCUUAAUACAUGCAAGUCGAGGGGCAGCACGGGUAGCAAUACCUGGUGGCGACCGGCAAACGGGUGCGGAACACGUACGCAACUUUCCCAAAACUGGUGAAUAGCCCUCCGAAAGGAGGAUUAAUACACCGUAACAUAAUGAGGUGGCAUCACUUAAAGAUUAAAGCUCCGGCGGUUUUGGAUGAGUGUGCGCACCAUUAGGUAGUUGGUUGAGGUAACGGCUCACCAAGCCUGCGAUGGGUAACUGGUGUGCAAGCACGACCAGUCACACGGGCACUGGGGCACUGGACCGACUCCUACGGGAGGAAGCAGUAAGGAAUAUUGGUCAAUGGACGCAAUUCUGAACCAGCCAUGCCGCGUGGAGGAUGAAGGCCCUCUGGGUUGUAAACUUCUUUUAUGGGGGACGAAAUCACUUAUUCUUAAGUGUCUGACGGUACCCCAGGAAUAAGCACCGGCUAACUCCGUGCCAGCAGCCGCCGUAAAAC